rnacentral:rRNA from 1 species
GGGCUCACCAAGGCGACGAUGUCUAGGGGUUCUGAGAGGAAGGUCCCCCACACUGGUACUGAGACACGGACCAGACUCCUACGGGAGGCAGCAGUGAGGAAUAUUGGUCAAUGGGCGCAAGCCUGAACCAGCCAUGUCGCGUGCAGGAAGACUGCCCUACGGGUUGUAAACUGCUUUUGUAUGGGAAGAAACGUUGGUACGUGUACCAAUUUGCCGGUACCAUACGAAUAAGGAUCGGCUAACUCCGUGCCAGCAGCCGCGGUAAUACGGAGGAUCCAAGCGUUAUCCGGAUUUAUUGGGUUUAAAGGGUGCGUAGGCGGUAGAAUAAGUCAGUGGUGAAAUCCUGCAGCUUAACUGUAGAACUGCCAUUGAUACUGUUUUACUUGAGUGUAAUUGAGGUAGGCGGAAUGUGUUGUGUAGCGGUGAAAUGCAUAGAUAUAACACAGAACACCGAUUGCGAAGGCAGCUUACUAAGUUAUAACUGACGCUGAUGCACGAAAGCGUGGGUAGCGAACAGGAUUAGAUACCCUGGUAGUCCACGCCGUAAACGAUGAUUACUCGCUGUAGGCAAUACACCGUCUGUGGCUGAGCGAAAGCAUUAAGUAAUCUACCUGGGGAGUACGUUGGCAACAAUGAAACUCAAAGGAAUUGACGGGGGCCCGCACAAGCGGAGGAACAUGUGGUUUAAUUCGAUGAUACGCGAGGAACCUUACCUGGACUUAAAUGUAGAUUGACGUAUCCAGAGAUGGAUAUUUCUUCGGACAAUUUACAAGGUGCUGCAUGGUUGUCGUCAGCUCGUGCCGUGAGGUGUCGGGUUAAGUCCCAUAACGAGCGCAACCCCUGUUGUUAGUUACCAGCACAUCAUGGUGGGGACUCUAACAAGACUGCCGGUGUAAACCGCGAGGAAGGUGGGGAUGACGUCAAAUCAGCACGGCCCUUACGUCCAGGGCUACACACGUGUUACAAUGGCCGGUACAGAGGGCAGCUACUUGGUGACAAGAUGCGAAUCUCAAAAACCGGUCUCAGUUCGGAUCGAAGUCUGCAACCCGACUUCGUGAAGCUGGAUUCGCUAGUAAUCGCAUAUCAGCCAUGAUGCGGUGAAUACGUUCCCGGGCCUUGUACACACCGCCCGUCAAACCAUGGAAGUCGAGGGUACCUGAAGUCUGUUACCGUAAGGAGCGGCCUAGGGUAAAACUGAUAACUAGGGUUAAGUCGUAACAAGGUA